ensembl:antisense_RNA T08G5.19 ncRNA
UCCUUCGUGUCUGCAGAGGCGAAAAUGGGUGAUGCGGUUUCCAUCGUGAGAGCUGAGAGAGAUCUGCAUGCUACUACACGUCUCUUCUUGUCGACAGAUAGAAUACCUUGGGAGGAGGCGAGACCAUUGUGGGCGACGUUGUAGCAAGAGUGAUUGUCGAAGGAUCGAUGGGCUUCUUCCUGUGCUUCUGGUUCAUAUGGUUCUUCAAGCCUUUCUCUGUUGGAAUAACUAGUUCGCAUACGGGACACUUCCACGCUCCACUGCCUUUUGUCGUCAAGGAUUUACCUUCUUUUCUCUGAAUUCGGAAUUGAUCAACUUCAGCCUCACUCGCAUUAUGCACUUCCCGAAGGUGUCGAUACACAUUGGUAGUCUUCUUAGAUUCAUCGUCCACCACGUCCGCCAUCUUCAUCAGCUUCUUCGUCUCCAGCUCCUGGAUCUGCCAGAAAACCCUAUUUUUUUCUCUAUGUCAGUUUAAUUGAUGUUUAAUUCCGAAAAGUCAGCCUUCCCUAGGUUUUUAAAUUGAAACAUUUAAUUUAAUUUAUUUAUUCACUAUUUCUUGCCUUGAAAAUUAAGAGCAAAAUGAGGAAUAAAAAUGAGAUGAGGUAAGAAAUGUGAAUGAUAAGGUGACACGAUUGGAACAUGUCCGAGGUCAGAUGAUACAAAUGAUUUCCAAGAAAAGUUGAUGAGAAAAAAAUAAUAAAAAAAUAAAAAAAUAAAAAAAUAUGACAUCAUGUACAAAUGAGUGAGGAAAUGAGAUCAUACAUAAGAUUCAAGAGGGAGGCAAGAAAUGCGCUUGGAGAACGUAUAGCCUGACACUGGCACCGGGAAAUGUUUUGUUACUAAAUUCCAUAUUGUAAGAUGUGUGUGGAGAAAACUGUUGUUAUUUGUUUUGCCUAUUGCAGUCAUUUGAUAUGGAAACCGGGGAGAUUUGGAAUUUUUAAGAUAGAGGGCU